CGUUGAUAGGUCGGGUGUGUAAGCGCAGCGAUGCGUUGAGCUAACCGAUACUAAUGAACCGUGAGGCUUAACCUUACAACGCCGAAGC
rnacentral:rRNA from 1 species